UACGAAGGGGGCUAGCGUUGCUCGGAAUUACUGGGCGUAAAGGGAGCGUAGGCGGACAGUUUAGUCAGAGGUGAAAGCCCAGGGCUCAACCUUGGAAUUGCCUUUGAUACUGACUGUCUUGAGUAUGGGAGAGGUAUGCGGAACUCCGAGUGUAGAGGUGAAAUUCGUAGAUAUUCGGAAGAACACCAGUGGCGAAGGCGGCAUACUGGCCCAUUACUGACGCUGAGGCACGAAAGCGUGGGGAGCAAACAGG
rnacentral:rRNA from 1 species